UACGAAGGGGGCUAGCGUUGUUCGGAAUUACUGGGCGUAAAGCGCACGUAGGCGGUCUAUUAAGUCAGGGGUGAAAUCCCGGGGCUCAACCCCGGAACUGCCUUUGAUACUGGUAGUCUCGAGUCCGGAAGAGGUGAGUGGAAUUCCGAGUGUAGAGGUGAAAUUCGUAGAUAUUCGGAGGAACACCAGUGGCGAAGGCGAGUCCCUGGAAAACACCUGACACUGAGGCACGAAAGCUAGGGGAGCAAACAGG
rnacentral:rRNA from 1 species